rnacentral:lncRNA from 1 species
AACAUGACUGUUGACUGUCUUUCUGCAGCACAGGCCCACACUUAUGGUGGACCUCAUUUAGCAAGAUAUCCAGUGACAUCCGAGGAUUUUUACCGCCUUACACUUUGCCGGGUGUGACCAUGUCCAGGGUCAAACAUCCGGAUUUCCCACCCAAGACCCUCAACACUCUUAGGAGAGGCUCCCCUAAGUGCCUGCUCCGAAAACGAGCAGACUCUGGAUGUUGCAUAGGUCAUGCAUAGAGCUGGAAUUAGCAGGUCGGGACGGGGGACUUAACCUACUGGCCGACCUUACAUUGCUGCCCGUUGGCUGACCAGUGAGUCUUAGGUCAUGAGCUGGUCCAUGAGUCUUAGGUAGGUGCAUGGAUCUUUUGAUAGGAAUAUUUUGGAUCCUUUGAUAGGGAUAUUUAUUGGCUUCGCUGGCGGCUUCUCGUGGUCCCCAAUUUGCUCUGCCUAUGUACGCCUGUCUGUCUGCCUCCUUGCAUCUAGGCUGCAGCUGUGUGCCUUAUCCUUAGGUUUAGGUUUCUGAACAAGGCAUGUUUUGGUGCGGCAAUGUCGAUAAUUGGGCAUUCACAAAGUGAUUGGUGAAGACAUGUGCGUUUGUGAGUGUAAACAGGCGACACAGGCGCAGGUGAAUGUAAACAUGGGUCUGUUACCCAUCAGUAGUGUAUUACCCUGACCCCUUUGUUACCUCUCGGUAAGGGGUUACCCCUACCCCGGGGUUAGGUUACCCACCUCCAUACAUAGCCACAUGGGUAACCCCUACCCCUACACCCUGGGUUAUGCCUUGUUUUAUGGGGGGGUUACCCCUUGUUUUAUGCCAUAGGGAAGGAUUGGAGCAAACUUAAUUAGUCUAUUUAAAAUAAAUUUCCAAGCAGCUAAUAUACUUUUGAGAUGUUAACAAAACAUUACUCUAUAACUAAAUGUUAAUGUAAUGACUUCUUCCUAAAUAUAAUCUUAAAACAAAAACAAAGAAAUAAAAUAGACAAACAAAAAGACGAAAAGACGAAGACCAGCAUAAUGGACAGCUCGUGAAGACGCAGGAAGAAAGCAGCAAAAUGAUGAAAAACGGGAACUUUCUAUGGUAUGAGAGCAAACAAAAUAAUGACUUUGCUAGCUAGCUCGGCUGCUGAGAGGGCCGGCAACUAGGUUGCAGGCUCAUGAGAACCUGUCACAUGUACAUCCAUAGCCGCAUCAGGUAGCACUAUUGGUGAAGACUGGUCAACGGACUGCUGAACCCCCAGUUUAGAUGAUCUGUGUGUGACUUGUGUCGUAGACAGUGCUGGGGUGCAAUGUGAUGUGCACCCAGCCGUCUGAACAAGCUGUCCAUAUCCACACCGCUGACUUCCACCCACCCACGUAACACUUCCACAUACACACGCACGCCGGUG